UGAUUAGUAUGCUACCCGAUCCAAUUGACGGGGCCGAUGACUCCACCGCGCAGUGAAGAGUCACGAUCUUCAACGUGUGGGCAACACCGAAGAUUGAACAGGUCGAACUCUGUGUCAUCUUCGGCGGCUGUUUCUCUUUUCUUUUUGUGUUUCUCCAUUUGAGAAUUGAACCUCAUCAGAUCUUCACUGGCCGGUGAGGGGAGACUAAUCGAAGGAAUCGUAAUCUCUCGCUAUAGCCAACGCUUGCUCUUGCUUCAUCCCAUCUUCAGACUACUGAAUCAUCUUGAUUUAUUCACAAUUGGAUUGGAACACUACGCAGUUUUUCCCAGUCUGUAUGUAAUCUCUACGCAUCAAGCUUACAGCAGGGAGGGAUUUCAGAUAGUUUAGCAAUUUCAGAUCGAUUAUGUUUUGCCCUUUUGCAGAAAAACCUAAUUUUCUCCUGCGUUGAUGGUAGAUCACCGAGAAGACGGACGGCGAAUUGGUACAAAGCGAUGCUACCAGAAUAUUCCUUGGAUUCCCCACCGCUAUGACCACGUCAAGUAAUUAUCGGUAAUCAUAGCCGUCGCUGGUGUUUCAAGCUGGUCCAGAAACUCCUCGAAUGGACCUUCCAUCCUCGUCAUUACGGCUUCCACGAAGUCGACGGCACGGCCCUUCUCCAACGAUGUGACGUUGGGGAUAGAGCAUAGCCGUAAAUUAGUAGGCUUGGGAUCGGAGCCUAUGAAGCCCAGCCACUCUUCCGUGACCACGAAGGUGAUUACAAUAUCACCCUCAUCAUCACCAAUAAGAGGCGUCAGGUCUGAGAGCAGGGAGAAAGAAGGUUCAAUCUGUUCAAUCUCCGGCGUUGCCCACAAGUUGAAGAUCCUGACUCUUCACUGCGCGGUGGAGUCCUCGGCGCCGUCGGCUGUAUCGGGUAGCAGACUUAACAGCUAAAGGAAAGGGGGUUUUUCGGUCAUUAGAAAAAAACUGCAAAACUUAACAGUCAUAAUAAAUGUCCAGGCACGGUAGAUAGAAUCUUUUCACUUGAGAGGAGAGAAUGAAAUAUUUGCAAAAACAUAGGGAACUUGAUAUAUAUUUAGCUAUAGUUAAGGGGAGGGGAGUGAUAAUUACUCUUGAAUAGAUAAUAGAUGAUUUGGAUUAGUUACAUAUCAAAUUUCAAAGCAUAAUGUAAAUUUUUGAUCAUUUUGGUAAGUUUAUUAAAGUACAUUGUAUCUUCUUAGUA